ACAAAUUUCAAACCCUAAACCAAAACCAUCACUCCUCACUCUCGACAGCUGCCCACUCUCUCUCGACACAAAGGUGACAAAGCCAAAACCAAAACCCUUACUCGAUCUCUUCUUCGACAAAUCUCUCUCUCUCUCUCUCUCUCUCUCUCUCUCUCUCUUUGACAAACCCUAUCUCUUCUUCCACAAACCCCAACGAAAGCUCUCUCUCUCUCCGACAAACCCCGACCAAAACCUAAUGGUUAUUGGAUCUGGGAAAUAGCGAAGGCGUUCAUCGAGACCACUUUGAGCUCGCUGUUGACCUCUACACCCAGGCCAUCGCCGUCGACCCCAACAACUCCGAGUUUUACUCCAAUCGCGCUCAGGCCAACAUCAAAUCCAACAAUCUCACCGAGGCUGUAGAAAACCUAAUGGGUAGACCUCUAGUGUUCUUCAGAUCUUUCGGCAGUGGCGUGUUGCUUUCGGCGGAUUCGAAAUUCAGCUAUGGGUAACCAAGAUUUGAAUUCGAACAUUGGAGCUGUGGAUUUGGGAUUGAAGGCAAAAAUGUCAAUAUUGGGGCUAAGAAGAUAACUAAGAAGGUUUCUGGGUACCGGACAUAUGAUGAUCCAAAGCUAAAAGCCAAAAUUGAGCAGGCUAAUGUAGAAGUUCAGAAGAAGAAUCAGGCUCGAUCUCGAGUCCUUGAAGCAUUAAAUGCAAAGAGGAUGAGUUGAAGUUCUUUGUUUUGAACAUAACCUACUCUUAUCUUUUUGUUUUUACCUGGAUUGUUUUUCUGCCACUGUGUUCUUGUUUUUGUUCUUUGAUAUUGGUUCGUUGUUCUGUCUUCAUUCAGGUAUGGAAUCUUUGUAUUAUUACUGAUGUUUGUUAUUAGCAUUGGUUUAAAUUAAUUACAGAUCAUGGGUGCUAUCAAUGUUUUGUUAU